GCCAUGUUGGUCCAGUCGGUUAGAACAAUACAGGUUACUAUAGUGGCCGGAUUUGAAUCCCCGACAUAGCG